rnacentral:rRNA from 1 species
CCUACGGGAGGCAGCAGUGGGGAAUAUUGCACAAUGGGGGAAACCCUGAUGCAGCGACGCCGCGUGAGCGAUGACGUCUUUCGGUAUGUAAAGCUCUGUCAUCAGGGACGAAGAUGACGGUACCUGACUAAGAAGCCACGGCUAACUACGUGCCAGCAGCCGCGGUAAUACGUAGGUGGCGAGCGUUGUCCGGAUUUACUGGGUGUAAAGGGAGCGUAGACGGCGAUGCAAGCCAGAUGUGAAAGCCCGGGGCUCAACCCCGGGACUGCAUUUGGAACUGGGGGGCUGGAGUGCCGGAGAGGAAGGUGGAAUUCCUAGUGUAGCGGUGAAAUGCGUAGAUAUUAGGAGGAACACCAGUGGCGAAGGCG